GCUCUGUGAUGAACCCCAUGCGUGUCAUCUGAGCCUGGCUUCCCUGUCAUCUCAGCCCAGCUCCCAAAUACAUCAAGAUGUUUGUACUGGAUGAAGCUGAUGAAAUGUUAAGCCGUGGAUUCAAGGACCAGAUCUAUGACAUAUUCCAGAAGC
rnacentral:snoRNA from 1 species